AUGAUAUAAAUAAAACAUACUUUUUAAUAUAGAGUAGAAUAGAAAAAUUUGAAUUACUUUGUAGUCGCCAUCUUUCGGUAUUUUUAGAUAUUACGAGAGACUGUGUCCCUGACUGUGUCAAUACAUUUGGACAACACAACGCUAGUACAUUUAGGAACAUGAGCAAACACUUUCUAUUAAUUGCCUUAGAAUGUUUCACCUGGAAAAUUGUAUGGACACAUUGAUCCCUUAUCUCGGAAGUACAGGCGUACGAACUUGAUACGAGGAAUUCUCAGUAUAAAUUAUGGCAUAUAUAACAUAUUAUUAUUUGAAUAAAUGUAGGUGAAUGUUUGCUUCGGUGCGUAUUAAGUACUUUUACCGGUCAGUAUAUACUUUAUUAUAGUGUUUAUCAAUGUUGACAUAACAAGCAAAGUUGCUCUCUAAUUCGUUAGAAUAAAAGACAGCGUUCAACAUUUCUAAAAAUGAUUUCCCAAAGUUUCCUUCUUAAAGAAGAUUUACUUUCAGCGUGCACUACCAGAAAGAAAUUAAGAUGACUCAAGAUGAUUCAUCUCUGAUGGCCAGCAAGCGUGAAGCAGCCGCGAUUCUCGCCAAAUUUCUCUAAAUAGAACAAUUUUCAACACGAUCGUAAAUUUACAGAGUGUCAAUGUUUUAAUCUUCUCUAUUAUCGAUUACAUUGGAUCGAAUACACGAUAUUCCUGAGCGAAGUGGAUCCUGGAACCACUUAAUGGAAACGAUGCAAAUACACAAUCACCAGAUCACGGUCCGGUAGCUUCGCGAGGUCCGCGAACGGCUCCGAUGCCAUUCGUGCAACGGGAGCUAAUGGUUGCGAGAUGAUACCCGUAACGAUCGUUAAGGACAAACUUAAUAAUAGUAGCCGGAUAUUUACUAUAGAUCGUGAGUCGUCUAAUUGGCCGGUCGGAGACGAAUUCAUGACUGGCGGCCACUUUGCGAAUAUAUCGCGAGCACCGAGCCAAAAUCGUCGCACGAAACACAGAUUCGCUACCUAUGAAAGGUACUCUAUACAUUGUAGAGAGCCGUAACAUACACAAAUACACAUAUAAGUAUCUUUGUAUGUACAACUUUGUACAAUAGUGUCUUGCUAAUUGGCCGUGAAUCAAAAUCUUAUCCGGUCAAUUAACGAAAAGCGUAUCUACUUC